GAUGAACGCUAGCGGCAGGCCUAAUACAUGCAAGACGAACGGUAAGUUGAGUAGCAAUACUUAGCCAAGAGUGUCGUACGGGUGCGUAACACGUAUGCAACCUACCCUAUACAGGAGGAUAGCCUAGGGAAACCUGGAUUAACCCUUCAUAGUAUUAUUGGAUGGCAUCAUUUGAUAAUUAAAACUGAGGUGGUAUAGGAUGGGCAUGCGUCUGAUUAGUUAGUUGGCGGGGUAAUGGCCCACCAAGACGAUGAUCAGUAGGGGUUCUGAGAGGAAGAUCCCCCACACUGGCACUGAGAUACGGGCCAG
rnacentral:rRNA from 1 species